GGGACAAUGGUCUAGUGGUAUGAUUUUCGCUUUGGGUGCGAAAAGUCCAGAGUUCGAUUCUCUGCUGUCCCC
rnacentral:tRNA from 2 species